ACAGAAUUGAAGGUAAAGAAGUAAGCGUCACGAGCGAACGAUAACGGGCGAGAAAAACUCUUGGGAUUCGUAGACUACAACUCUUCGCCCUCAGUCGGCAAAGUGGAAGGGAAGAGAAAAAAAUGGCGAUAAAACCGAGAAGUGUUCUAUGCGUAGGCGCAAGAUCAAUGAAGGCCACAAAAUGGCGACUAGAGUAACGAAAAAAAAAGUAAAACCGCGAAAAGUGAGCGGAAUGAGACAGCGCUAGUCGGUAAACGCCCGAGUACGAGAAAGAAGAUACCGUAGGUCGUCUGGAGCUACAAAAAUAAUACUACUGUAUUAUUACUCACUACAGAAGAGUCUUUCGAGGUAAAGUUAUUCCAGCUUUUGCAUCGCAUUGGUUUCUAAACUGGAGUACAAUGGCCUGAUUUGUUUCAUACAAAAAAAUAUGCAAUCUUUCAAGUACUGUCAGCGCAAAUGAUCCCUUAACAAACGGAGAUUAAAAGGAACUAAAGAGAUUGUAAUUAUUAUUUUUUGAUCGCAAAAUACAGACGUGACGCUGGGAGUUGUCGGCUCAACAUUUUUGUGGUGAGAUGAAAAGAAGAAAAAUGAAAGUUCUGGGCAUGGAUAUUAAAAAAAUUUUAUAUUGCCACUAGUAUCUUUAUAUUUUUUUCCCCACGAGCAAAUGAUAUCUCAUCGAAAAGUCCCUCGGCACAGAGUCCAAAUUACAGUGGAAUAUGAAUGCGAAUAUUCAUCCAGACUGGCGUGUCGUUUAUGCUGUACAUUGAAUAUUUAUUGCUGGAUAACUUUAGCUCUCCAUACAGACUACAUAUAUAUGAAUAUAUGUGUACGCUUUUUUUAAGAGUCAAUUAGAAUUGUUUUUUUUUCUAUUGAUUGAAAUCAUAAUUAAAAUAUAUAAUUUUGAUUACAAGGAAUAAUAAAAAUGAGAUCUCUCUGGAGUUUUAGCUCUAGAGAUAUCGUGGAAAAAUAUUUUGAGUCCCAUUUUGGUCGACUACUCGUCAUAAGUCUAUUUUAUUUGAACAAUUUCAAAGUUCCUGUAACGGGGGGGUCUGUUACGAAAUUUCUUAGAGUCGUUAAGGGGGUAGGGGAUGUUUGGAAUUAGAUGGAGAGUAAAUCUUUAUGUGUAUGUAAAAUACAGCUGACUACCUGUCAUAUGUCUGCCCGUUAUAAGCUUCUCCAAGUAAACGACUCUAAGAAAUUUCGUAACAGACCCCCCCGUUACGAGCCUCCGUUAAAAUUGUCGAACUAUAAGUCACUUUGUCAUAAGUCUAGAGGCUUGUAACGGGGGGGGGGGUCUGUUACGAAAAACCUUAGAGUCGUUAAGGGGAGGGGGACUGUUUGGAGUUAGAUGCAGAUCAAAUACACUUCAUGUGUAUGUAAAAUACAGCCGACUAUCUGUCAUAUGUCUGCCCGUUAUAAGCUUUCCUUAGUUAACGACUCUAAGAAAUUUCGUAACAGACCCCCCCGUUGGAAGCCUCCGUUAAAAUUGUCGAAUUAUAAGUCACUUUGUCAUAAGUCUAGAGGCUUGUAACGGGGGGGGGGUCUGUUACGAAAAACCUUAGAGUUGGUAAGGGGGAGGGCCUGUUUGCAGUUAGAUGCAGAUGAAAUCUUCGUGUGUAUGUAAAAUACAGCCGAAUAACUGUCAUAUGUCUGCCCGUUAUAAGCUUCCCCUAGUUAACGACUCUAAGAAGUUUCGUAACAGACCCCCCCGUUACGAGCCUCGGUUAAAAUUAUAAACUAAUAAUAGGGAAAAUUAGAAAAGUUAUUGAUGAAAAUUUACUAUUUAUCGAGGAAGGAAAAUAAUUCGCUAUUAAGUAAAAUAUAAUUCAU